GACGAACGCUGGCGGCGUGCCUAAUACAUGCAAGUCGAACGCACAGUUUAUACCGUAGCUUGCUUCACCAUAGCCUGUGAGUUGCGAACGGGUGAGUAACGCGUAGGUAACCUGCCUGGUAGCGGGGGAUAACUAUUGGAAAAGAUAGCUAAUACCGCAUAAUAUUGAUUAUUGAAUGAUAAUUGAUUGAAUGAUGCUAUUGCAUCACUACCAGAUGGCCCUGCGUUGUAUUAGCUAGUAGGAGAGGUAACGGCUCACCUAGGCGACGAAACAUAGCCGACCUGGGAGGGGGAUCGGCCACCCUGGGAAUGGGACACGGCCCAGACUCCUAAGGGGAGCAGCCGUAGGGAAACUUCGGGAAUUGACGAAAGGCUGAACGAGGAACGCCGGGGUGGGGAAGAAGGGUGUCGGGUCGGAAAGCUCUGUUGUAAGGGAAGAACGGGAUUGAGAGUGGAAAGUUCACACUGUGACGGUACCUUACCAGAAAGGGACGGCUAACUACGUG
rnacentral:rRNA from 1 species